rnacentral:rRNA from 1 species
ACGGUCCUAAGGUAGCGAAAUUCCUUGUCGGGUAAGUUCCGACCCGCACGAAAGGCGUAAUGAUUUGAGCACUGUCUCGACAAUGCAUCCGGUGAAAUUGAAGUACCAGUGAAGAUGCUGGUUACCCGCGCCAGGACGGAAAGACCCCAUGGAGCUUUACUCCAGUUUGAUACUGGGAUUCGGUACUGCAUGUACAGGAUAGGUGGGAGACGGAGAAGGAUGGACGCCAGUCUGUCCGGAGUCGCUGUUGGGAUACCACCCCUGUAGUACUGGGUUUCUAACCAGUUGCCAUGAACUGGCAAUGGGACAAUGUCAGGCGGGGAGUUUGACUGGGGCGGUCGCCUCCGAAAGGGUAUCGGAGGCGCUCAAAGGUUCCCUCAGAAUGGUUGGAAACCAUUUGAAGAGUGCAAAGGCAGAAGGGAGCUUGACUGCGACACCGACGGGUGGAGCAGGUACGAAAGUAGGACUUAGUGAUCCGGUGGUAUAAAGUGGGAUUGCCAUCGCUCAACGGAUAAAAGCUACCCUGGGGAUAACAGGCUUAUCACUCCCAAGAGUUCACAUCGACGGAGUGGUUUGGCACCUCGAUGUCGGCUCAUCGCAUCCUGGGGCUGUAGCAGGUCCCAAGGGUUGGGCUGUUCGCCCAUUAAAGCGGUACGCGAGCUGGGUUCAGAACGUCGUGAGACAGUUCGGUCCCUAUCCGGCGCGGGCGGAGGAUAUUUGAGAGGAGCUGUCCUUAGUACGAGAGGACCGGGAUGGACGGACCACUGGUGUAUCUGUUGUCGACCAACGGCAUGGCAGAGUAGCCAAGUCUGGAAGGGAUAAACGCUGAAGGCAUCUAAGCGUGAAGCCCCCCUCAAGAUGAGAUAUCCCUCCUUCGGGAGUAAGACCCCUUGAAGACUACAAGGUAGAUAGGGCAGAGGUGGAAGCAUGGCAACAUGUGGAGCUGACUGUUACUAAUAGGUCGAGGGCUUAAUCUG